GACGAACCGAGCGAACGUUGUUCGGAAUCACUGGGCUUAAAGGGCGCGUAGGCGGGCGGCCGCGUCCGGGGUGAAAUCCUCCCGCCCAACGGGAGAACGGCCUCGGAUACGGGCGGCCUCGAGGGGGGUAGGGGCAGGCGGAACUGUGGGCGGAGCGGUGAAAUGCGUUGAGAUCCACAGGAACUCCGGUGGCGAAGGCGGCCUGCUGGACCCCUCCUGACGCUGAGGCGCGAAAGCAUGGGGAGCAAACAGG
rnacentral:rRNA from 1 species